rnacentral:piRNA from 1 species
UACUAGCUACUAUUGAUUUAGUUAGCACUU